rnacentral:rRNA from 1 species
UAGGGAAUCUUCGGCAAUGGACGGAAGUCUGACCGAGCAACGCCGCGUGAGUGAAGAAGGUUUUCGGAUCGUAAAGCUCUGUUGUUAGAGAAGAACGUUGGUAGGAGUGGAAAAUCUACCAAGUGACGGUAACUAACCAGAAAGGGACGGCUAACUACGUGCCAGCAGCCGCGGUAAUACGUAGGUCCCGAGCGUUGUCCGGAUUUAUUGGGCGUAAAGCGAACGCAGGCGGUUCUUUAAGUCUGAAGUUAAAGGCAGUGGCUUAACCAUUGUACGCUAUGGAAACUGGAGGGCUUGAGUGCAGAAGGGGAGAGUGGAAUUCCAUGUGUAGCGGUAAAAUGCGUAGAUAUAUGGAGGAACACCGGUGGCGAAAGCGGCUAUCUAGUCUGUAACUAACGCUAAAGCUCGAAAACGUGGGGAGCGGACAGG